rnacentral:rRNA from 1 species
GAUGAACGCUGGCGGCGUGCCUAACACAUGCAAGUCGAGCGAUCUUCUUCGGAAGAGAGCGGCGGACGGGUGAGUAACGCGUGGGUAACCUGCCUCAUACACAUGGAUAACAUACCGAAAGGUAUGCUAAUACAAGAUGAUAUAAGAGAUUCGCAUGGAUUUCUUAUCAAAGCUCCGGCGGUAUGAGAUGGACCCGCGUCUGAUUAGCUAGUUGGUAAGGUAAUGGCUUACCAAGGCUUCGAUCAGUAGCCGACCUGAGAGGGUGAUCGGCCACAUUGGAACUGAGACACGGUCCAAACUCCUACGGGAGGCAGCAGUGGGGAAUAUUGCACAAUGGGCGAAAGCCUGAUGCAGCAACGCCGCGUGAGCGAUGAAGGCCUUCGGGUCGUAAAGCUCUGUCCUCAAGGAAGAUAAUGACGGUACUUGAGGAGGAAGCCCCGGCUAACUACGUG